AGAGAGGCGCUAUGCCUCCCUGCCGGCGACACGAUACAGCGCUGCAGAACCGACCCCGACGCAGCCGCCAUCGCUGAUACCACUGCCAGUCAUGCGGUUCCGCCCCUGCGUUGCCGCGCGGGGCCGCGCACGCAAAUACGCAGGCACGCGCGGGAGCGCGCCUGGGAGCGCGCAUGCGCAGCGCUGCUGGCCCGCUCUCUGAGGAGCUUUCAAUACUUUGGGGUCAAGUUUGAGGCAGUUGUAACUGUACUGAGUUUAGUUUUGCUAAUAAUGGUAUUCUACGUGUGUCAGCCUCGUGUGGACUUCUGUAAUGACUAAUGGAUAUGUUUAUAUCCUGAGCAUUUGCUGUAGGAAUUUUAAAUGCAUUCCCAAAACUCAAGAUUACCUUAUUUGGAGAAAUAUUAGUGUUACUAUGUUUAAAAUUUAAUAGAUAGAACCAUAUUUUACCUUUCACUUUGGGACUCGCACAGGAUGUUUGCAGCUCUUGAUAUACAGGAACUAGAACGUGUCUUUUAAGAGCAUGCGGUUUUAUAAUUACGUGGAAGUAUGCUACGCAAGGGAAAAAAGCCUCUUGCUAGUGUUAAGGGUCUUUAUAAACAGAAACCGCAAGGAACCUGGGAUCUGACAGCUGUUGGAGGAAUGCCUGUGAGGAAGGAGGAGGAACAGAAGAAUGCUUCGAUGUCUUAAAUGGUACAUCCAAACUUAAGUGAAAUAGAGCUGUGAGGACA
rnacentral:antisense_RNA from 1 species